rnacentral:lncRNA from 1 species
UGUAGCUGUCAGUGGCUUUAAAAGCUACCAAGGAACAUAUUCUCCAAAUAUUAGUUGGAAGAGGAAGUCCGUCGUCAACCUCGUUCACAGGAUUGGUCACCUAGGUAAUUAUUGUUAUUAAUUCCCCCAAAUAUAAUAUUGGAUGCCCUCAAAAUAGUGGUGGCAAAACAAUUAAUAGACCUUCCCAUGCUCCCCUAAUUAGUUGUAUCAUACAAAUGUGAACCACC